AUGGAACUGAGUGACAUCAGUGCAAGUCUAACAGUAAUGGUCAUUCAUUAUUUCUUGUUCAGAACAAAAUUAUUUUCUUGCAAUGAGCUAUGUGGGAAUUUGAUUGUUCAAUUACAGUUAAACUUCUGCCAGAUAAAAACUGUAAAAUUUGAAGUUUACAAUUAUAAGAUAAAAAAGCUUCUGUGGAUGGCGAAUUUUGUCUUGGAACUAAUAUGUGAGACAGAAGUCACUGCAUACAAGACUAUCAGCGUUGUGUCACCUGGGUUUUCAUCAGAGACGAUUCAGCUGGUCACAACUAAAAGUGCUGAAUUACCCCAAGAGAAGAGAGCUUGCUUUGCAGUCAUGACUGCAAGUGCUGAAUUAUCCCAGGAGAAGAAAUCUCACUUUUGUCAGGAUUCCAGUCCAAUUUUGCAGACACGAAAGGAGAUAAUCACUCAAAUGUGCAUGUGUGCUUACUGGAAGUGAGUCCAAAC
rnacentral:lncRNA from 1 species